CAAGAAAAAGCAGCCAAUGCUUCAGUCAACUUCUCAAAGUUCUCUAAGAAGUGCUCAGAGUAGUGGAAGAUCAUGUCUGCCAAAGAGAAAGGAAAAUUUGAAGAUAUGGCAAAGGUGGACAUGAAAAAGUAAUGAAAACCUGUGUUUCCUAAAGGGGAAACAAAAAAAGUUCAAGGAACUCUAUGUAUCUGAGAGCCUCCUUCGGCUUUUUUUCUUGUUCUGUUCUGAAUAUCGCCCAGAAGUCAAAAGAGAACAUCCCAUUGGUGAUGAGGCAAAGGAACUGGGAGAGAUGUGGAAUAACACUGCACAAAUGACAAGCAGCCUUAUGAAAAGAAGGCUGUGAAGCUGAAAGAAAAAUGUGAAAAGGAUAUUGCUGCAUACCAAGCUAAAGAAAAGCCUGAUGCAGCAAAAAAACGGGAGAUGUCAAGGCUGAAAAAAGUGAGAAAAAGGAGGAAGAGGAACAAGAUGAAGAGGAGGAAGAGGAAGAGGAAGAAGAAGAAGAGGAAGAAGGAGGAGGAGGAGAAGGA
rnacentral:lncRNA from 1 species